rnacentral:rRNA from 1 species
CACGUAGGGGGCGAGCGUUGUCCGGAUUUAUUGGGCGUAAAGAGCUCGUAGGCGGUUCAGUAAGUCGGGUGUGAAAACUCUGGGCUCAACCCAGAGACGCCACCCGAUACUGCUGUGACUUGAGUACGGUAGGGGAGUGGGGAAUUCCUGGUGUAGCGGUGAAAUGCGCAGAUAUCAGGAGGAACACCAGUGGCGAAGGCGCCACUCUGGGCCGUAACUGACGCUGAGGAGCGAAAGCGUGGGUAGCAAACAGG